rnacentral:lncRNA from 1 species
UUCCGUUAUUCCACCUUAUGAAACCAAAGUCUCACCAUCUAGGAUGUAUUGACUCACUGCCAAACUGUCUAGUGAAGUGCAUGCUCCCAAUAUGCUAGAGAAUAAGAAAAACCAAAUAGAUAACUUUAAGAUAUGCUAUGCACCAUUAUGUUGUUGAAGCAAUAAUUAAUGACUACUAAAUCGGGGAAGAUGAGUUUUUGAGACUUUGAGUAGCGAAAAGUAAACAGAAACUAUGCAGAGGCAGAGAAUGACAAUAUAAUAAAAUAAGAACAAUAAAAUAAUUAAUGAAUUUAACUGCUGGGUGUGCGGAGUCGUAUUUGUUGCAUCCUGAUUAUUAUCAAUUGCUGUUACAACUAAUCAACGUCGUGGCUGGGGGAAUCCAAAUUGACAUGCUCCCUCUGUUUUACACCAUUUCCCAAUGUUUCUCGUUUUCAUUUUUGUUUUCCGUUUAUCGAAGCUGAAUUAGCACCGGAAAAAUUAUUAAG